GACGUAGGGGGCGAGCGUUGUCCGGAUUUAUUGGGCGUAAAGCGUGCGUAGGCGGCUGCGCAAGUCGGGUGUGAAACCCCGGGGCUCAACCCCGGAACUGCAUCCGAUACUGCGUGGCUAGAGGUAGGUAGGGGAGAUCGGAAUUCCUGGUGUAGCGGUGAAAUGCGCAGAUAUCAGGAAGAACACCGGUGGCGAAGGCGGCUCUCUGGGCCUUACCUGACGCUGAGGAGCGAAAGCGUGGGUAGCGAACAGG
rnacentral:rRNA from 1 species